rnacentral:rRNA from 1 species
UUAAUUGAAGAGUUUGAUCAUGGCUCAGAUUGAACGCUGGCGGCAGGCCUAACACAUGCAAGUCGAGCGGCAGCGACAACAUUGAUCCUUCGGGUGAUUUGUUGGGCGGCGAGCGGCGGACGGGUGAGUAAUGCCUGGGAAUAUGCCUUAGUGUGGGGGAUAACUAUUGGAAACGAUAGCUAAUACCGCAUAAUGCCUACGGGCCAAAGAGGGGGACCUUCGGGCCUCUCGCGC